GAUGAACGCUGGCGGCGUGCCUAAUACAUGCAAGUCGAGCGAACGGACGAGAAGCUUGCUUCUCUGAUGUUAGCGGCGGACGGGUGAGUAACACGUGGAUAACCUACCUAUAAGACUGGGAUAACUUCGGGAAACCGGAGCUAAUACCGGAUAAUAUUUUGAACCGCAUGGUUCAAAAGUAAAAGACGGUCUUGCUGUCACUUAUAGAUGGAUCCGCGCUGCAUUAGCUAGUUGGUAAGGUAACGGCUUACCAAGGCAACGAUGCAUAGCCGACCUGAGAGGGUGAUCGGCCACACUGGAACUGAGACACGGUCCAGACUCCUACGGGAGGCAGCAGUAGGGAAUCUUCCGCAAUGGGCGAAAGCCUGACGGAGCAACGCCGCGUGAGUGAUGAAGGUCUUCGGAUCGUAAAACUCUGUUAUUAGGGAAGAACAUAUGUGUAAGUAACUGUGCACAUCUUGACGGUACCUAAUCAGAAAGCCACGGCUAACUACGUGCCAGCAGCCGCGGUAAUACGUAGGUGGCAAGCGUUAUCCGGAAUUAUUGGGCGUAAAGCGCGCGUAGGCGGUUUUUUAAGUCUGAUGUGAAAGCCCACGGCUCAACCGUGGAGGGUCAUUGGAAACUGGAAAACUUGAGUGCAGAAGAGGAAAGUGGAAUUCCAUGUGUAGCGGUGAAAUGCGCAGAGAUAUGGAGGAACACCAGUGGCGAAGGCGACUUUCUGGUCUGUAACUGACGCUGAUGUGCGAAAGCGUGGGGAUCAAACAGGAUUAGAUACCCUGGUAGUCCACGCCGUAAACGAUGAGUGCUAAGUGUUAGGGGGUUUCCGCCCCUUAGUGCUGCAGCUAACGCAUUAGGCACUCCGCCUGGGGAGUACGACCGCAAGGUUGAAACUCAAAGGAAUUGACGGGGACCCGCACAAGCGGUGGAGCAUGUGGUUUAAUUCGAAGCAACGCGAAGAACCUUACCAAAUCUUGACAUCCUUUGACAACUCUAGAGAUAGAGCCUUCCCCUUCGGGGGACAAAGUGACAGGUGGUGCAUGGUUGUCGUCAGCUCGUGUCGUGAGAUGUUGGGUUAAGUCCCGCAACGAGCGCAACCCUUAAGCUUAGUUGCCAUCAUUAAGUUGGGCACUCUAAGUUGACUGCCGGUGACAAACCGGAGGAAGGUGGGGAUGACGUCAAAUCAUCAUGCCCCUUAUGAUUUGGGCUACACACGUGCUACAAUGGACAAUACAAAGGGCAGCGAAACCGCGAGGUCAAGCAAAUCCCAUAAAGUUGUUCUCAGUUCGGAUUGUAGUCUGCAACUCGACUAUAUGAAGCUGGAAUCGCUAGUAAUCGUAGAUCAGCAUGCUACGGUGAAUACGUUCCCGGGUCU
rnacentral:rRNA from 1 species